UUUGUGUAAAGUCCAAAAGUUCUCCUCUUUCUGUUCUUCAAGUCUUGAGUUGUAAAGAGAGGAGAGAAAGGUUCUGUAAGGGUUGUCUCCUGAGCCCGUCAAAAGGAGUGAAACUGUAAAAGGGCAGUUGGCCUUCGCCUAUUGAAGGAAGGCCUCUAGUUGACGUCGGUGACCUCGUCGGUGGAGGAAGCCAAAAGUGGAGUAGGUCAAGACUGACCGAACCACUCUAAAU
rnacentral:lncRNA from 1 species